GUGGACCCGGUGUCCUCCCCGGGGAUUUAUGACCUCACGCUCCCGUGACAGUGACAUCACAGUGCGUUGCCAUGGGCUCUGCUUUAUUGUCGUAAACAAAGGGCUGUUCCUUGGGACCGGGGCUAUCUGAGCAGGAGGGGAAAGAAUUCUAUGUGCAAUGUGUUUUCUUGGGAAGGCAGCUUGUUCGGAAGUCUGAAAAGCUGCGGAAAUCAUCGUACGUACAGUUCCCUCUGCGUGGCCCUGCGGCCUCCAGACCAGGGUCAGGCCGGGGACGACAGCGAUGAGGUCAGCUCCGCACAGGAAGCCCUGGGCCCGGUCACUGCUCCAGACGAGGCCUUCAGGCAGUCACGGAAGUGCUCUGAACACCUGGACACUAGGUGCAGGAGAGACAGAGGCGCCAGCCCCGCUGCUUCGGGAUCUGCAGUCCUUAAGGACAGGGGUGUUGUGACUGUGUCACGUUGGGUCUGGGUUACACGAGCUGAUGGAAGCAAACAGGAAGCCAGGAUGAGAAGGAGCGAGGGAGGAGGCCACUGCGAUGAGGACCCCCAGGAGGGCGUCUCUGUGGAGAGAAAACACAAAACCAGGCACCGGGAGAGGAAGAGAUGCAUUGGGAUCGGGGGUUAGGACCUCCCUGAGAUGCCGGAGUAUCCAGCGAUGCCAGUCUUGGACAGAUGGAGGUACAGCCUUCCAGACAUGGGGAACAGCACAUCUGGAUGCUCAGGGGUGAGAAGAAACCAUUUCUGAGCAAGAAACAGAAAUGUGCGAGGUACUUAAGCCUCAUGCUGAGAGCAAAGCUUCCAGGCAGCAGAUACGGGGUUUUGCCUCCGCCACAGUUGCGUGAGCCACUUGGAAACGUGCAUGCGCUUGCAUCGCCCUGGGUCCGCCCCUUCCGCCAGCCUCUUCCUCCCCCGCCUCUCCUUCUGACUCCUCAGUUGUGUACGCCAGUGGAUUCCUCACUUUAGCCACACCAGCUGGCGCUGGACAACUGCCGCCUUGGAAUCUGGAGUCCUGAGAUGCCCGUCGUUCAGAUAGGAGACCAGCAAACUAACUGCACCUUAUUGUCUGUUUCUGUUUUACACCCCAACACCAGAGGGGAAUCCUCAGAAUAAAGAUAACCAGGGCCCCACAAGCCUAAAAUACUCACCAUCUCAUCCCUUAUAGAAGGAGAUCCUCGGUGCUGGCCUCAACUGCAUUCUUUUAUUGCUUAUAAAAGGAAAUUGAGGUCGAUAAAGAGAACUUCCUUACCUGGGUGCACAGACUGCAUUGGAAUCUUCCCGGACCUCAGUUCCCACACCUAGAACGCAGACAGGAUCUCGCCUUCUAAGGUCAGUGAGACCUAGGAAGGCAGUAAAGAGCAAGGCCAGUGGCCGCUCUCCCGUCAGCCUCCUGAGGACCGGAAACACCUGACUCCUCGCCUUCUGCGUCUCUCCCUCUCACGCACACCCUCCCACGCGUGGCUCAGUUACUGGAGUCCCUGCUGAGGCUUCCUUCUCUGAUCUGGAGCCGCCCAGGAUGUGCACAGGACAUCCCACUCCACAACACGGAUGGGCUCCAAGACAUGCAGCGAGCCCCGCGAGGUCACACAGCGUUCUGAGCCACCUCAGGCCGCAUCCUCUUCAAUGGGCUGGACUGGUCCGUGUCCCACAAGGGUGGGCACGGCUCAUCUCGCUGCCUCCCCUGGCCUCCUGGCCUGUGGCCACCGUCCCGGCUGCGUCUCCCUCCACCCCUCCUCUCUUCCUGCUGCUGAGAGUACAGAUGUUUCUGCCCUCGUCCGCUUCGUUGGCACCUGUGGGAUCUGACAAUUCCCGAGUGGGCACUGGACAGCGGGCAUCACAGUGGUGGGGUCACCCCAACUCCUGGCAACCACAAGCCUCUCAUUGGAGGCGGCCGCGCAGCUGUGCAGACUUCAGGGGCGGAGGCUUCUGGCUCAGACCCCACUCUGAUUUGAUGGUGCUUCCCAAAGCUCCGGUCAGAACCCCUCCCGUGCAUUCCUGGAUGGAGGAGAUGAGGGCCAGGUGCUGUCAUGAGGGUGGCGCCCUAAGCUGGGCCCAGUGGCUUCAGAUGGGAGAGACUUGAGCCAGUCACUGGCUCUGUCUCCCCGUGGCUGCCUUCUGCCGUGUUCCUGAGCAGCCUGAGGCUGGCUCCUUCCUCUGGACUGCCGACCUCCAGAACCAGAGGCUAAACAAACCUCUAUUCUUUCUAAAUUGCCCAGUCUGGAGGCAGGCAUGGUGGACAUGCCUGUGAUCCCAGUACUCAGGGGCCCGAGGCAGGAGGAUCUCUGUCAGUUCUGUCUCUUUUUAUCUCUGUGAAGUUGGACACACCACCCAGACUCCUGUGCCUCCGUUUGUGCAUCUGUGAAAUGGGGACGCUACCAAUAAAGAGUGCAGAUGUGGCCGGGCGUGGUGGGGCACACCUGUAAUCGCAACACUCAGACGGCUGAGGCAGGAGGAUCACCACGAGUUUGAGGCCAGCCUGGGAGACACAGUGAGUUCAAGGCCAACCUUGAAUUGGCCCUGCUGGGAGCUGGCCUCUUCAUGAUGAAUCAGCUGGAGUGGCUGGGGCUGGGCCAGGGCAGGAGACACAGCGCCUCACACACACAUCUGGUGAUUGGCACUCUGGGGCAUGUUGGGAGUGGCUCUCCUGCUGGGGCUCCUGCCUUGAGUCAGUUUGGGCUUCUCCUCCAGCUGACGGCUUCUAGGAAAAUGAAAACAGAAGCUCUCAGGGCUGGCAUCUGUAAGGUGCUCCACCUCCAUUCUGAGUUUCGGACUCGAAAUAAAAAGUACAAAGAGCCAAGGACACAGCUCCGUGCAAAGGCCCUGAGUUCAAACGCCAGUACUUCCAGAGAGAGAAGGUGCGAAGUGGUCUUUGGAAAAACCUACUGGGAAAACUCACCCCUGGACAGGCGUCCACUUAGUCUUCUUCCCCACCCAAAACGUAGCAGAGAGCCGCAAAUAAAGACCCAGACGCUCAGCCUUUGCUCUGCUUUUUUCCAGCCAGGGGUCUAUCAGUCCUGAUGGUCCAAAGGUUUCCUUUUCUCCAUCCUUUCUGGCUUUGUUGUUUGGAGACAGGGUCU